GAUGAACGCUAGCGGCGGGCCUAAUACAUGCAAGUCGAACGAGAAUCCCUUCGGGGAGGAAAGUGGCGGACGGGUGCGUAACGCGUAUGCAACCUGCCCUUUACAGGGGGAUAGCCCGAAGAAAUUCGGAUUAAUACCCCAUAUACCGACAGAAACACAUGUUUCAAUCGGGAAAGAUUUAUUGGUAAAGGAUGGGCAUGCGUCUGAUUAGCUAGUUGGUAAGGUAACGGCUUACCAAGGCAAUGAUCAGUAGGGGGUCUGAGAGGAUGAUCCCCCACACUGGCACUGAGAUACGGGCCAGACUCCUACGGGAGCAGCAGUAGGGAAUAUUGGGCAAUGGGCGAGAGCCUGACCCAGCCACGCCGCGUGAACGAAGAAGGUUUUGGAUUGUAAAGUUCUUUU
rnacentral:rRNA from 1 species